CACCUGGUGAGAAACACUUGAUGAGAAAAGAGCUCAGCGGGGCCUAAGACAGUUUUGCACGGGACCCUAGGAAAUUCCGCGGGCCCCGCCCACCACCCAACUUCAGGGAAUACGGAAGGCUCUGGAGCAGCUCUACUUCCUCGACAGCCGCGAGCUCCGCCCACCACCCGACAGGCCCACUCAAAGCUCGACUUCCUGUGACCGCUGUCCCCGCCCACCACCCGCAGGCCUAAUCAGGAAGCCCCGCCCCCGCCUGCAAGCCGGUCCCGGGCGAAGAACCUGGAUGUAGCAGUCGCUCCCUCCGCGCAGACUCACCCAGACUCAAUUUACUUUCGUUUCCGCGGCAAACUUCCCGAGGCCUGGAUGAGGGAAGAAGCAGCGGUGGGAGAGUCUGGAAUUACUCCGACGUCUCGACAGCCUCGCCGGGGCGGGCAGGGGGCCGUCGCCGGAGCCUGACAAGGGGGGGAUCACCGGAGACGGAGCCCGUCAGACUCGGGGAUGCCGGGCCUCGGAGUAGCUGGCUCGUCGCGCCGUGGGCCCCGCUGGUGGGCGCGCGUCCUGCCGCGCGGCCCGGCCUCCCUCGCCCCGGCGGGACAGCGGGCUUGCGCACCUGGGAUGUAGGCCGGCCAGGACCGCCGUGCUCCGGCAGCAGGUCCGGUGUCCGCGCCCUCUGCGUGUCGAGAUAUUUCUAGUUCUGUGCAAAGGAUACUAGAGCCUAAGCAGAAAGUAGCAGUCUCACUGAGGACGUCAGACUUUGAAACAUGAAGAGCAAAAUCUCAGAAAGGAGGGAAGUAUAAAAAACUGACUCCAACAUUA